rnacentral:rRNA from 1 species
UACGAAGGGGGCUAGCGUUGCUCGGAAUCACUGGGCGUAAAGCGCACGUAGGCGGGUCUUUAAGUCAGGGGUGAAAUCCUGGAGCUCAACUCCAGAACUGCCUUUGAUACUGAGGAUCUCGAGUCCGGGAGAGGUGAGUGGAACUCCGAGUGUAGAGGUGAAAUUCGUAGAUAUUCGGAAGAACACCAGUGGCGAAGGCGGCUCACUGGCCCGGUACUGACGCUGAGGCGCGAAAGCGUGGGGAGCAAACAGG